rnacentral:rRNA from 1 species
UGGCGGACGGGUGAGUAACGCGUGGGUAACCUGCCGUACACAGGGGGAUAACACCUGGAAACAGGUGCUAAUACCGCAUAAGCGCACAGGGCCGCAUGGCCCGGUGUGAAAAACUCCGGUGGUGUAAGAUGGACCCGCGUCUGAUUAGCUUGUUGGCGGGGUAGAGGCCCACCAAGGCGACGAUCAGUAGCCGGCCUGAGAGGGUGGACGGCCACAUUGGGACUGAGACACGGCCCAAACUCCUACGGGAGGCAGCAG